GAUGAACGCUGGCGGCGUGCCUAAUACAUGCAAGUCGAGCGAACAGACGAGGAGCUUGCUCCUCUGCCGUUAGCGGCGGACGGGUGAGUAACACGUGGAUAACCUACCUAUAAGGCUGGGAUAACUUCGGGAAACCGGAGCUAAUACCGGAUAAUAUAUUGAACCGCAUGGUUCAAUAGUGAAAGACGGUUUUGCUGUCACUUAUAGAUGGAUCCGCGCCGCAUUAGCUAGUUGGUAAGGUAACGGCUUACCAAGGCGACGAUGCGUAGCCGACCUGAGAGGGUGAUCGGCCACACUGGAACUGAGACACGGUCCAGACUCCUACGGGAGGCAGCAGUAGGGAAUCUUCCGCAAUGGGCGAAAGCCUGACGGAGCAACGCCGCGUGAGUGAUGAAGGUCUUCGGAUCGUAAAACUCUGUUAUUAGGGAAGAACAAAUGUGUAAGUAACUAUGCACGUCUUGACGGUACCUAAUCAGAAAGCCACGGCUAACUACGUG
rnacentral:rRNA from 1 species